rnacentral:rRNA from 1 species
GACGAACGCUGGCGGCGUGCUUAACACAUGCAAGUCGAACGGAAAGGCCUUGUUUCUGUGGGGUGCUCGAGUGGCGAAAGGGUGAGUAACACGUGUGUCACCUGCCUUUUCCUCUGGGAUAACUUCAGUAAACCGGGGCUACUACCUGUUAUUAGCUCCUGCUGCAUGGUGGGGUUUGGAAAGUUUCGGCGGUUGUGGAUGGACUCGCGGCUUAUCUGCUUGCUGGUGGGGUAGUGGCUUACCAAGUCUUUGACGGGUAGCGGGACUGAGAGUGUGACCGGCAACAUGGGGACUGAGAUACGGCCCACACUCGUGCGGGAGACAGCAGUGGGGACGAUAGCACAAUGGGGGGACGCCGGGUGGAGCAUCGCCGCGUGCGGGAUGUCGGCCUUCGGGUUGUAAGCCGAAUUCGCCUGGGUGGAAGCGUGGGGGAGGGUAAUGGGUAAGGAGGAACCGCCUACCUAGGU